rnacentral:lncRNA from 1 species
AUGGUUCCGUCCGGCCCCUCCUCCCGGCUCGCGGGGCAGGCCGGGAAGGCGGCGGCGGCCGGGCCGGACCCCCGCCAGGUAGCGCGGCUGGCUUUGCGGCCUAGGGCGAGCAGGAGCCUCCCCGACCGAGCCUCCCGCCGGGCCAGCGCCGCUCCCGGGCCUCGGACCCCGAAAGCCCAAGGGCAUCGGGACCCUUUCCUCGGCGGCGGGUGGUAACUGUGUUAUAAAGAUAUGGAAGUAAAACCUUUAUUUAAGGUAAAGGGGGGAAGGGAUGACACUGAUGAAUUAAAUAUGCAAACAAUCCAGACUUCAUUUGAGCGAGUAGCUUCCGAGUAGAAAAAGUAACCUCUGGGUGUAAGCGGAGUAAGUCCGGCAGUCUAGCGGAGAAAUAACGGGGGUGGGAGUAGAAUUUAUGAACACCGAGAAUUUCCCCUCGAGACUGGAAGCUUGUCACGGGUAGGGAACGUGUCUGUUGCUUUUGUUCUGUCGAACUCUCCCAAGUAGAGGCGCUCCGUACGUAGUAGGCGCUCAAUAAAUACCAUCGAUCGAUUCAUCGGUUACCGCUUCCCCCCUCCAUUUUUCCGCCCUCCCGCCCGCACCUCAGUUCCGAUCGAUCCGGAGUCCCAGUUUGGGGCGGCGGAGUUGUUGAGAAGGCUAAUGAGCAGCACCCGAGAUAAGUAGCCAUGACCUGCAGAGUUUCACCCCUCCAGCUCGUCCCGGGGGCUCUGACGUUGUGCUGGUAAUAGAGGUGAAUUAUAUGCUCGCCCUGACGUGCGCUUCAGAGCAUUUUUAGUUGGAUUUUUAAAUUUUUUGGCCAAUUCGGUCAGCCUAUGUUGAGAGAAAACGUUUCCGCCUCUCUCGCUCCCUUCUGCGUCACCCCUGUCCUGGGAUUUGCUCCCGCAGCCCGUACGUCCGCGUCUGUCAUUUAUUUAUUUCUACUAACGACCGUCUACCCCUGUAGACUCUAAGCUCGUUGCGGGCCGGGAUCGUGUCUGCCGACUCUGGGCGAUUUGCCCUCUCCCAAGCGCUCAGUACGGUGCUCUGCACACAGGAAGCGCUCAAUAAGUACAGUCGGACGAUUGUCCCGGAGAACGCAGGUGGGAGCAGGUGCUGGGCUAGAAAGAUAUCCCUCCACCUCCCUCCUUCUAGGGAAAAAGCAAAUGGUAUUUGUUAAGCACGUACUCCGUGCCAGACACUGUACUAGUCGUCGGGGCAGAUACGAGCCAGUCGGGUCGGACACG